rnacentral:rRNA from 1 species
ACUCCUACGGGAGGCAGCAGUGGGGAAUCUUCGGCAAUGGGCGAAAGCCUGACCGAGCAACGCCGCGUGAGCGAUGAAGGCCUUCGGGUCGUAAAGCUCUGUUGUUAGGGAAGAACAAGUAUGAGUUGAAUAAGCUCAUGCCUUGACGGUACCUAACGAGAAAGCCACGGCUAACUACGUGCCAGCAGCCGCGGUAAU